rnacentral:lncRNA from 1 species
CCAGAACCAAGUAAUUUUUGAAAUGUGAUAGCUGCAAUCAGUCUGAAGAGGCAGGUGCCUUAACUACAACCACCGAGGUCAGAAAACGUGCAAGUAAUCAGGACGGGCAAAUCUCAAAGGCUGUGGUUCAAAUGAGCAUCCCCAACCUUGCUGUUUGUCCAAACUGUUCAAAUUGCACUGGUGUGCAAAGUCAGACUGAAAAGAAAACCUUUAGAAGCUGCAGUUCUUCACCCUGCAAGUGGAUACAGAUUUCUGCUUUGACACUGUUCUUCUGAGACAGAAGGAGAACUGCAACAUUGAACUGGGGACGUCAGAAAAGGAUCUACGAUACAGAGUAAGUACAAACAGAACGGUAACUUCAUUGCAAGAAAUGGAGUGAGGGUGUAGAGGGGCAAAGAGGCGCUUGCGAAAGGAAUAAAGAAAGCAUCUGGCCAAGUGCA